rnacentral:rRNA from 1 species
AUUGAACGCUGGCGGCAUGCCUUACACAUGCAAGUCGAACGGUAACAGGGAGCUUGCUCCGCUGACGAGUGGCGAACGGGUGAGUAAUGCAUCGGAACGUACCCAGUAGUGGGGGAUAACGCAGCGAAAGCUGUGCUAAUACCGCAUACGCACUGAGGUGGAAAGCAGGGGACCUUCGGGCCUUGUGCUAUUGGAGCGGCCGAUGUCAGAUUAGCUAGUUGGUGGGGUAAAAGCGCACCAAGGCGACGAUCUGUAGCUGGUCUGGGAGGAUGGCCAGCCACACUGGGACUGAGACACGGCCCAGACUCCUACGGGAGGCAGCAGUGGGGAAUUUUGGACAAUGGGGGCAACCCUGAUCCAGCCAUGCCGCGUGAGUGAAGAAGGCCUUCGUGUUGUAAAGCUCUUUCGGCCGGGAAGAAAUCGCCAUCUCUAACAUAGGUGGUGGAUGACGGUACCGGAAUAAGAAGCACCGGCUAACUACGUGCCAGCAGCCGCAGUAA